rnacentral:tRNA from 1 species
UGCGUUGUAGCCAAGCGGUAAAGGCCGGGAGCUUUGACCUCCCUAUCGUGUGUUCAACUCACACCAGCGCAA